AAGGAUUUAAGUUAAUUUAAACUAGUAACCUUCAAAGUUUCUUAUAAAGAUUUAUACAUCUUUAAGCCUUA
rnacentral:tRNA from 1 species